rnacentral:rRNA from 1 species
GACGAACGCUGGCGGCGUGCUUAACACAUGCAAGUCGAACGAAGAGCGAUGGAAGCUUGCUUCUAUCAAUCUUAGUGGCGAACGGGUGAGUAACGCGUAAUCAACCUGCCCUUCAGAGGGGGACAACAGUUGGAAACGACUGCUAAUACCGCAUACGAUCUAAUCUCGGCAUCGAGGAUAGAUGAAAGGUGGCCUCUACAUGUAAGCUAUCACUGAAGGAGGGGAUUGCGUCUGAUUAGCUAGUUGGAGGGGUAACGGCCCACCAAGGCGAUGAUCGGUAGCCGGUCUGAGAGGAUGAACGGCCACAUUGGGACUGAGACACGGCCCAGACUCCUACGGGAGGCAGCAGUGGGGAAUCUUCCGCAAUAGACGAAAGUCUGACGGAGCAACGCCGCGUGAGUGAUGACGGCCUUCGGGUUGCAAAGCUCUGUUAAUCGGGACGAAAGGCCUUCUUGCGAAUAGUGAGAAGGAUUGACGGUACCGGAAUAGAAAGCCACGGCUAACUACGUG